GAUGAAGAACGUAGCGAAAUGCGAUAAGUAGUGUGAAUUGCAGAAUUCAGUGAAUCAUCGAAUCUUUGAACGCACAUUGCGCCCCUUGGUAUUCCAUGGGGCAUGCCUGUUCGAGCGUCAUUUGUACCUUCAAGCUUUGCUUGGUGUUGGGUGUUUGUCCAUUCUCUUGCAGAGGGACUCGCCUUAAAGUAAUUGGCAGCCAGUGUUUUGGUUUUGCAGCGCAGCACAAGUCGCGAUUCAGCGCUAUACGCCAGCUUCCACAAGCCUUUUUCACUUUUGACCUCGGAUCAGGUAGGGAUACCCGCUGAACUUAAGCAUAUCAAUAAGCGGAGGA
rnacentral:misc_RNA from 1 species